rnacentral:pre_miRNA from 1 species
AGCCUUCUGUAUCUGUGCUGAGAUUCCGUCACACACCAGACCACAAGGGCUGAUGAGACUUCCAAUAUAAGUGUUGCG